CCCUUAGAUGUUCUGGGCUGCACGCGUGCUACACUGAUAUUGCCAAUAUGUCAUUCUUAUCCGAAAUGGAUUGGGUAAUCAAGUAAUGAAAUUUCAUGCUUGGAAUCGGUAAUUGCAAUUUUAUCGUGAACGAGGAAUUCCUAGUAAGCACUAGUCAUCAGCUAAUGUUGAUUAUGUCCCUGCCCUUUGUACACACCGCCCGUCGCUACUACUGAUUGGGUGUUCAAGUGAGAUGCUUAGACCCUUGUUGCAUGGUUCAUUAUUGUGCUCCGAAAGGAAAAAGUUUCAAGCUUGAGUGUCUAUAGGAAGUAAAAGUCGUAACA
rnacentral:rRNA from 1 species